UACGAAGGGGGCUAGCGUUGUUCGGAAUUACUGGGCGUAAAGCGCACGUAGGCGGACAUUUAAGUCAGGGGUGAAAUCCCAGAGCUCAACUCUGGAACUGCCUUUGAUACUGGGUGUCUUGAGUAUGGAAGAGGUGAGUGGAAUUCCGAGUGUAGAGGUGAAAUUCGUAGAUAUUCGGAGGAACACCAGUGGCGAAGGCGGCUCACUGGUCCAUUACUGACCGCUGGAGGUGCGAAAGCGUGGGGAGCAAACAGG
rnacentral:rRNA from 1 species